GAUGAACGCUAGCGGCAGGCUUAAUACAUGCAAGUCGUGGGGCAGCAGGUCUGUAGCAAUACAGAUGCUGGCGACCGGCAAACGGGUGCGGAACACGUACACAACUUUCCUUUAAGUGGGGAAUAGCCCAGAGAAAUUUGGAUUAAUACCCCGUAACAUAGUGAAAAGGCAUCUUUUUAUUAUUAUAGCAGCAAUGCGCUUAAUGAUGGGUGUGCGUCUGAUUAGGUAGUUGGCGGAGUAAUAGCCCACCAAGCCUACGAUCAGUAACUGGUGUGAGAGCACGACCAGUCACACGGGCACUGAGACACGGGCCCGACUCCUACGGGAGGCAGCAGUAAGGAAUAUUGGGCAAUGGACGCAAGUCUGACCCAGCCAUGCCGCGUGGAGGAUGAAGGUCCUCUGGAUUGUAAACUUCUUUUAUCUGGGAAGAAAUCCAUCUUUUCUUGGGUGGUUGACGGUACCAGAUGAAUAAGCACCGGCUAACUCCGUGCCAGCCGCCGCAGUAAUAC
rnacentral:rRNA from 1 species